rnacentral:tRNA from 1 species
CUCCUGAUGGCCUAGUGGUUUGGAUUCAGUGCUUUCACCACUAUGGCCCAGGUUCAAUCCCUGGUCUGGGAA